rnacentral:rRNA from 1 species
AAUCAACGCUGGCGGCGUGCCUAACACAUGCAAGUCGAGCGGGAAAGGGGGCUUCGGUCCCUGAGUAUAGCGGCGGACGGGUGAGUAACACGUGGGUAAUUUGCCCUUGGGUGUGGAAUAACUCAGGGAAACUUGAGCUAAUACCGCAUGACAUCCCCUUCACACACGAGUUGGGGAUCAAAGCCGGGGACCCUUCGGGGCCUGGCGCCUGAGGAGAAGCCCG